rnacentral:rRNA from 1 species
AUUGAACGCUGGCGGCAUGCCUUACACAUGCAAGUCGAACGGUAACAGGUCUUCGGAUGCUGACGAGUGGCGAACGGGUGAGUAAUACAUCGGAACGUGCCUAGUAGUGGGGGAUAACUACUCGAAAGAGUGGCUAAUACCGCAUGAGAUCUACGGAUGAAAGCAGGGGAUCGCAAGACCUUGUGCUACUAGAGCGGCCGAUGGCAGAUUAGGUAGUUGGUGGGAUAAAAGCUUACCAAGCCGACGAUCUGUAGCUGGUCUGAGAGGACGAUCAGCCACACUGAGACUGAGACACGGCCCAGACUCCUACGGGAGGCAGCAGUGGGGAAUUUUGGACAAUGGGCGCGAGCCUGAUCCAGCAAUGCCGCGUGCAGGAUGAAGGCCUUCGGGUUGUAAACUGCUUUAGUACGGAACGAAAAGCCCUGGGUUAAUACCCUGGGGUCAUGACGGUACCGUAAGAAUAAGCACCGGCUAACUACGUGCCAGCCGCCGCGGUAA